rnacentral:rRNA from 1 species
UCCUACGGGAGGCUGCAGUGGGGAAUUUUGGACAAUGGGGGCAACCCUGAUCCAGCCAUGCCGCGUGCGGGAAGAAGGCCUUCGGGUUGUAAACCGCUUUCGGACAGAAAGAAAUCGCCUUGGCUAAUACCUGAGGUGGAUGACGGUACUGUAAGAAGAAGCACCGGCUAACUACGUGCCAGCAGCCGCGGUAAUACGUAGGGUGCGAGCGUUAAUCGGAAUUACUGGGCGUAAAGCGUGCGCAGGCGGAUAUUUAAGUCAGAUGUGAAAUCCCCGGGCUUAACCUGGGAAUGGCAUUUGAAACUGGAUGUCUAGAGUGUGGCAGAGGGGGGUGGAAUUCCACGUGUAGCAGUGAAAUGCGUAGAGAUGUGGAGGAACACCGAUGGCGAAGGCAGCCCCCUGGGCUAACACUGACGCUCAUGCACGAAAGCGUGGGGAGCAAACAGGAUUAGAUACCCGUGUAGUC